AUCCAACUGAUGAGUUUCAAAUGGGACGAAACACGUAUCUUAGAU
rfam:Schistosoma haematobium scaffold1437_7, whole genome shotgun sequence.